rnacentral:rRNA from 1 species
UCCGGAUUUACUGGGCGUAAAGAGCGCGCAGGCGGUCGUUCAAGUCGCGUGUGAAAGCCCCCGGCUCAACUGGGGAGGGUCACGCGAUACUGAUCGACUCGAAGGCAGGAGAGGGUAGUGGAAUUCCCGGUGUAGUGGUGAAAUGCGUAGAUAUCGGGAGGAACACCAGUGGCGAAGGCGACUACCUGGCCUGUUCUUGACGCUGAGGCGCGAAAGCUAGGGGAGCAAACGGGG